rnacentral:lncRNA from 1 species
UGCUGACAUUACUUAUCAGAUUCUGAAGCCUGCUUCCAAGAAAUGGAAGACAGAUGAUCUCAGCCAGAUCUGAAGUUGCCCUUCUCCACUCAAUUGCUUAGAUGGGAUUCAGGUUCAGCUGAAAGCAUCUACUUUAUUCCAUGCUUCAUGGUUUGGGACUUCUGGCAAAGCAUGAGAUCAGCCUCUGCUCAAUAGUUCAUAUGCUGGCUGUGAGACCUUUUGCGGCCUGCAGCUUUUCUGUCCACCAAUUUUGGAGGAGCUUUGCCUGCAGAAGGCUCACUACUCCUUUCUGUAGAGGACCAGAAUACAUGUCACUCUGCUGGGGAUAUUUUGAGUUCUCUAGUACAUUUCCAGGUGAAAAAGUACAAUCCUGGCUAGAAAGCUGA